rnacentral:rRNA from 1 species
GAUGAACGCUGGCGGCGUGCCUAAUACAUGCAAGUCGAGCGAACGGACGAGAAGCUUGCUUCUCUGAUGUUAGCGGCGGACGGGUGAGUAACACGUGGAUAACCUACCUAUAAGACUGGGAUAACUUCGGGAAACCGGAGCUAAUACCGGAUCAUAUUUUGAACCGCAUGGUUCAAAAGUGAAAGACGGUCUUGCUGUCACUUAUAGAUGGAUCCGCGCUGGAUUAGCUAGUUGGUAAGGUAACGGCUUACCAAGGCAACGAUGCAUAACCGACUUGAGAGGGAGAUCGGCCACACUGGAACUGAGACACGGUCCAGACUCCUAAGGGAGGCAGCAGUAGGGAAUCUUCCGCAAUGGGCGACAGCCUGACGGAGCAACGCCGCGUGAGUUAUGAAGGUCUUCGGAUCGUAAAACUCUGUUAUUAGGGAAGAACAUAUGUGUAAGUAACUGUGCACAUCUUGACGGGACCUAAUCAGAAAGCCACGGCUAACUACGUG